rnacentral:rRNA from 1 species
GUCUAUGGCCAUACAACCCUGAACGCGUCCAGUCUUGUUGGAUCUCAGAAGCUAAGCAGGGUUGGGCCUGGUUAGUACUUGGAUGGGAGAAUGUUUUUGGAUUCUUGAUCUUCUGGGAUCCAAGAUAAUAUAAAAU